rnacentral:rRNA from 1 species
UACGUAGGCAGCGAGCGUUGUUCGGAGUUACUGGGCGUAAAGGGUGUGUAGGCGGUCCCUUAAGUUUGGUGUGAAAUCUCCCGGCUCAACUGGGAGGGUGCGCCGGAUACUGAGGGGCUAGAGUGCGGGAAGGGAAAGUGGAAUUCCUGGUGUAGCGGUGAAAUGCGUAGAGAUGUGGAGGAACACCAGUGGCGGAAGGCGACUCUUUGGCCUUGUAACUGACGACUGAGGCGGCGAAAGC